UUUUUCUUUUACUAAUUAUGAUUAUUAUCUACAACUUGAUGCUUUUGACUUCUCAAAAAUUGAUAAACUUACGAUAAAAGAUUUAGCAAAUUAUUUAUUUGAACCACAUACAAUAAUAAAUGUGCAACUAAAAGAGGCUUAAGAACAACAAAAGAACAAUACAGAUGUCUAUUGUAAGCAAUAACUUCAUUUCCACAUUGGUGAUUAGGUAUGGUUAUUUUAUUAUAAAACUAUUUGUCUUUAUAAUAAAUUAAAUUACCAUAGACUUCGACCAUUUUCUAUUUGUAAAGAAGUCAAUCUAUUUGUUUAUCAAUUAUAUCUAUCAGAGCCUAUAAAAAUCCAUCUUAUAUUUUACAUGUCUCUUUUAGAGCCAUAUAAGACACUAAAUAUCCCAAGAAGAAGAUAAAUACCAAAACUUUAUAUAGAAGUGGAUAAUAAUCAAGAAUUUGAAAUAGAAGAAAUCUUAGACUUAAGGCAAUGCCAACUUAGAUUAGAAUAUGUUAUUAAAUGGCAUAGAUAUAAUAUUAUCAAAUAUAUAUGUGAGAUAGCAAAAAAUCUUAUAAAUAGAGCAAAGUUGGUUGAAGCUUUUCAUUAAUAAUAUUUAUCAAAAUCAAAAAAAAGGUAGGCAACCUUUGCUAUAAAAGAAAUAUAAUUUAAAAAAGAUUGUAUUCUACCUUUUAUCUUUGUCUAUAAUUUUUGUAUAAUUGUGGUGUUAAGGAGAUAGACAACCAAUAGCUAAUAGAUUCAACUCAAGAGCCAUUAUUUGCUAACUUAUUAGAAAAGACAUUAUAAUUAUCAUAACCUUUAAGGUAAUAUAAUAGGAAUGAAGACCUUCAAGAAUGACAUAUUUUUUCUUAAAUAGUUGGUGAGAUAUAAUGCAUUUAGUAUCACAACCUAAAAAGAGAGUCUUGAUAUUUGGUGAUUUUAUUGGAAGCAGGAACAAUUCUUAAUUGUGUUACAAAUAUUUUAUACAUAUUGGUAGCUUACGAAACAAGCUAACUAUGUAGUAUCUAUAUAGAAAACUUGUGUUGCAAGUUAAGAUAUGUGUUGUACAAAGUCAAUAUAUUUUAGAAGUCUUAUAGAAUGUUGCUAUGUAGCUUCUACAUAGAUAGUAUAUAUAGAGAUAAGAAUGAAGCCUUCUUCAUUCUUGUCAAUUUCUUUCUUACUUCUACUCUAGUUUCAAGAAGACUCUAAUUUUCUUAUCUUUUGGCAAUAGCCAUUUCAAUUUUUUUUUAAUAUACAUACUUUCUUAUUUUUAUUUUAUUAUAUUUCUUUGAUAAAGUCUCAUUUUUUUAUUUUUUUAUUUUUUUCACCAAGUUCUUAUCUUUGAUAGAUAAAAGUAAUUGAAUAUUUUUUUUAAAAUAUAUUUUAAUUUAAUUGAUCUCACUAAUAUCCUAUUAUACUUUUUAGGCAUGUUUCAAUCAAAGGCAAUAGUUAAAAACUUACAUAAAAAUAUCAAUGAAUUGAACUUUGUAAUUAAUAUAGAGUUUUACAAAAUCCUUAACUUCCAAGGUAAUAAUAAUGUGAAAUAUGCAAAGAUCAUGUUUAAAAGGAUAGAUAUGAUAAUGUUUGUCUAUUUGAUUUAAAAUCUUGGCUUAAUGACAUGUACACGUUUUAUGAUUUUCUUAAAUAAAAAUUCCUUAUAUAUAAUCUAAGGUAUACUAAACAACAUUUUUAGCAUGACUUAUUGGUUGGCUAAAAAGAGCUUCAUAACAAAGACAGUGUAGCUUCAAUGGCUUAAAGAACCUCUUUGCUUAGUAAUGCAAUAUCCUAAUUAUCAACAUAUUGAAAGCACAAGUCAUGUAUAUAACUACAACAAAGACAACAAUAACCUAAAAAUUUAGGAAAGCCUUACAACAUUAAAAAAAAAAAAAAACAUUUAUAAGCUUAUUGCAUGUACAAUUGACAAGGUCCAAUCUUGUGACAACUUUAUGAUUUCUAAGAUCAAAGAUGCUUGGAUAAAUAUGUGAAAGCAAUACAAGUUCAAGGCCAUAAAAAAUAGCAUCUGCACAAAUGUGUUGAAAGCUAUCAAGAACCUCAACAAGACAUUCUUUCUUAAAUUUGCAACAAAGAUGGUCAAGCAUGUCAAUGCAACAAGGCAUGAUAAUAAUUUCAUGUAUAUAUGUAAGACCUUGAUUUGGUUUGGCAUUUUACUUGAUGUGAUCAACAAAUGAUAUAUGAAGCAACUCUUGUUUGAAUUGCAGUCAAUUGUUAUUAUGUACCAAUGUUCACUUAAAUAAAGAAAUUAUACCAUAUUUUUGUAUACUUGAAUAAAUUGAUCAUUAAAUUAUAAUGACAUUAAAAUUGAACUACUCCCAUAGUAUUGUUUAGACAUCUUAAUCUUUAAAAUUAUAAAUUUAAUUGGAUCUUAUUGUUAGUUAUAUAGAUUAUCUUUAUAGCCUCCUUGGUCAUGAAGUCUAACUUGUUAAUCAAUAAAAAACUUGUUCCAUAAGCCUUGGACUAAUUUAUAAGUUGUAUACAUAUAAAUUAUAGUCUAUACAUUAUUUAAAUAUAAAUAUAAAUAAUAUUAUUUAUAUUAUUUAAAAUAUUAUAUUAUCAAUAUAUAUUCUCAAUAAGAAAGAUAUAUACUAUAAAUUGGGCAUUUCUAGAGAUAAUUUACUAAUAAUAUGAUAGAUAAUAAGCACAAGUAUUAAUAUUGUUAAAAAAGCUUCAAUUAAAAUUAAUCUAUGAAUGUUAUAAGCUUUGUAGAUUAGCUACCAACCUUAUAAUAUUAUGCAACUAAUCCUCUUGUGUAUGUUAGUUCAUCAUUCAUUUUCUUAAUGACAUUACAAAGUUUUUUCAUGAUACACUUAUAUAUAUAUAUAUAUAUAUAUAUAUAUAUAUAUACUAUUUAACAACUACUUAUUGUGAUGGUUAUGGAGGUCUCAAUGCAAGGCAUUGGCUUAUGUUCCAUACUCAAUUUAAGUCAUCCCGACAUUAAUCUUUAUGGUAAUCUAUCUUGAGAUUCUAAAUUUUCAUAUAGAAGUAUCAAAUUAAAGCCUAAAUGUUAUUUGUGAGCUAUUUCAUAGUUGAGGCAUUAUUAUUAUUGUUUUUGUCCUUACUCGAAUAUAUUUGAAAGAAAUUUGAUUUUUAUGGCAUAAUCUUUGAAAUUCAUAAGAAUUUUUCCUAUAAUGCAUUGUUAAAUAAUAUUUAUAUUAUUUAUGAUUAAUACAUAAUUAUUGAGUAUUUGACAUUGGAGCUAUUAGUAUGGAGCUUAGUGUCCAAAGGCUAUAUUCACAUACGUCUAUAUGUAUUUUCAAUUCAAUAUUUAUUUUAGCAAUUUUUGCUAAAUUAAUUUGGCAUACUUAAACAAUGCUGCCAAAGUUAACUUACUCAAUCAAAACAAUUAAUACAAAACUAUUGUGAUUUGCUAAAAUAGUGAUCUUAUAUACAACUCAAAUACACUAAACUUAACUACUUCAUUUUCAUACAACUUGGAAAAGAAAACAUUAAGAUAUCCAAUCCAUUGUCAACUACCUCUCUAUUUCUAAUCUAUAAGGUGGGAUAUUUUCACUAAAUUGGUGACCUAUUGUUAACUAUUUCUAAUAUUUUGUGGUUGGAAAUAGGUUAAGGACAUAGCAAAAAUGAUGUUAAAUUGUGAGCAAUAUAAACAAUACAUUGUACUUAGAAUAGAUUUUUAUAAACUAUUUAAAUCAAUUUUUGCAUCAGUGGAAUUAUACAUAAAUAGCAGUUGAUUAUGCAUUGAUAAAUUAGGGAGUUGGUGAAGCAAAAUUGGAAGAUAGAAGAUGUGUAAGAUAUUGUUUGGAAUUGAGCAAAAACAAGAAAGAAUGGUGGCAAAAAUCCAACUCAAUUAUAGUGAAUUACUCUCAAUACAAUAUUUGAAUUUUUGUUGCCUCAUCCACACAUUUGCAUUUGUAAGUAGUACAAAAUUUGGUGAAGUUUGGUAGAUUAACAAAUGCUACACAUCAUGGUUUUGAAAAAGUUGGAUUCUUCAUUUUAUAACCUACAGUUGGUCAGAAUUAAAUAGGCCUAUAUGUCCAGUAUAGAGUAGAGAAGAUAAUCUUUAGCUAAAACAUUUAUAUAAAUUCUGUUUUUGGACACACAAUUUUACUAUUUUUUUCUAUUUUUACAUGUACUGUAUACAUGUAUGCUGAAAUGCUUAAGUUAUUGGAAAUGAGUUGUCUACCUACCUUGACCAAAACGAGCGUCUCCAAGCAAUCGACAAUCAAAUGAUCCAGACUGAAUCAAGGUCACGUCACUCCAUAAUUCAGGGAAUAGGUAACUUGCACAGAAGCUGCUUCUAGAUUCCAGUUAACCGUGAUGCUUCGCCGUCGCGUUUGUCAACAACAGUUGGCUUCGACUGUAUCUCACCGACUGAAUGUGCACCUUACUAUUGACCGGUUUCCCAUACAAGAUUGUUAGUCGAGCACACAUUGAAGUAUACUCUGCCUUUGAGUUGCUUUCUGUGGUGAAUGGCUGACACGAGCAGGCCUGUGCUACGAUGAUUUUGCAACCAAUUUUCGCAUACCCUUUCUAAAAUUCUCAGCACUGUUUGCACAAUGGAGUCUCCGGAGCCAGUUGCAACAGCGCAGACUUGUGAAGAGGACCGAACGUUCAUGGUAUACGUUGACUUCCCGGUGCCGCUCCGAAGACGAUGCUUCGAGAGCAUUAUAGAUCACCCGUUACUUGGAUUGUGAUGACGUUUCUAGGUGGAUUGUUGGUGAUAGUUAUUUUAAUUAUAAUUGUGAAUGUUCGUGGUUCUCUCCGGUGACAAUCAUUACAGGUGUAAUCUGCCUAUGUUUAAUUAACCUAAUUUUACUUAGCUGCCACCAAGCACCAGGUACAUCGCUGUAGGCCUUGGACUUAUACGACUCGAAUGAUGGAUGUCGUGAGGAGAACCCAUUUAAUGGAUUGUGUUGUCGAUUGAAGAUUUCUGUAACUUAGCGUUCACGGCUAAACCGGAACCAGUUUUUGGUUUGUGAAUUCCUGAAUAAAAACAUGAAAUGGGUUGUGUCCACCUCAACUGUACCUAUCACUAGUUUCACACUGUUACCAGGGUGCUAACUUUCUUUCAACCAGCGUUGAAACUUUUUCGGGGUUUCACAGUGUCUGAGAUAGCGCGUCCAUCUCUAACACGCAAGGGGUGGUCUACCGGCAGAUAGUCAUAUGCGUUGGCUUGACCGUUCAUCUUCACAAGCGAUUGAUUUGUUUAAUUGUCUUUUAACAUCAUCACAAGAUCAUAAUCUAGAUUUUCGAAGGUGGACCACGAGACUUUCUUCGAUAAGAUAGCUUCUCUGGAAUCAACCAGCACCUCAAACCGUGAGGAUAUAGUGAUGAACAUGAAUCAAUCUUCAGUCCUGAGGCUUCAGAUGUUUCAAAUUAUAUUAAUGGGAAGCCAAACAAAAGAAGUCGCCUUGUUUCAAGCCAUACUUGGCAGGUUUGUGAAGUAGAAAAAAGAGGAACUGUUGUUUACCGAAUCUCUGACUGGUAAGAAAGGAGUGAGUCUCAAUACCUAUGUCAAGUUGCUCGAUCUCUCUGCCGCAAGUUACUCGGGGCCUCUGACCGUGGGCACCAAUCUUCCAAGCAGCUAUUCCCAGUCUGCAAGACCUCAAUAAACGCAUUUUUACGACCACGUUCUUGUGAAUGAUUUCGUUCGUACCCACGUUCUUGUAAAUGAUUCCAUUCAUACCACGUUCAUGAUUGAAUAGUGUACUGUUCAGGUUUUUAAUGCUUCUUCAGGAUGUUUGACCUGUGUGAACGAUCGACGAAAAUACGUUGAGCUGAGUUUGCAAGGAAACGAUUUCUACUCAUUGUUUAUUCCAUAGAAAAUACCGUGUAUAUGUAAAAUGUCGAGCACCCUUAAAAAUGGACGUAAAUCACGUAUAAACAGAAUUAUACAUCCUACAAGUUAUCUUCCCUUUUAGAUGGUCUAGGAAUCCUUCGUCAUCCAUAGAAAUAUUAUUACGAAAAUUUCCAAAUUCCAAGUAGACGCAUCGCACACAAUGAUGCGGAUCAAUUCGGGAUUCAUUUCGUGCUAAACUGAUCCUUGACACCGAUCAAUUUUGAUACGGCUAUUUAGCAGUUGUUGAUUGCACCUUUCGGGAACGACUUGAAGGCGAUCUUGUGAGGUUGCAGAGCCUUGCAGCCAUAACCAGUGCGGUGGGCAAAGUUUGAGAGGACUAGUUCUAUCGUUGUCAACAGCAUUAACAUCGGCCCCAUGCUGAAUGAGGUACUUAGGGGCUGGUUCUUGCCCAUGAAGUGUUGCAUGAUUCAGUGCUGUCCGUCCCUCAAAAACUCGCAGUGUUUAUGACGAGGAGAGUGUGAUGAGGUAGCAUGAAAGUCAAAAUGCCCGCACCAGAUGAAGUUUUGAGAACUACCACAGUUACCUUUUUGUGGAUCUCUGCGCCCUUCGCUAUGAGUAUCUUCAUUACAUUUAGCUCUCCACGGCUUGCGGCCAAAAUUAACGGCGUGCGACCAUCGCCAUCUGCAUGUAACAGCACCGUCGUCAAACCAUAUUCAAGCGUGCUUGGACAGGGAAUGAACGUUGCAAACGUUCUCAAAGAGUGAAUGUGCGGACUAAAAUUAGUUAUACCGGGGCAUAGUGUAAUGACACUCGCUGUACCCGAAUGUUCUCUCGAUCAGGAUUGACAGAGAAUUCAGCUGUGGUCAGAAAAACAGAAAGUAGACACACCUUUCGUAUCAAUAGACGAUCCCAAGUCAGUAAGUUCUCUAAGAUGUUCUAAGUCACCUUCUAUUACACACACGUGAAUUGACUCCACAAUGCUGCAAAAAGACAAGCAUGGCCAAUAUUGGCAUACCAUUCCAAUGAACAGAGUCUAGAAACUAGACAUGCUCAUGAAGGUCAGGAUCAGAGCAGUAUCCCACCACAAAACUAUUGGUUCAGUAAGGCUGUUGAGAAUUGCUCGUCCAUACAAACAACUCGGCAUCCAGUUUCCAAAGUACUACAUAGACACCGAAAAUUGCAAAUGAUGUAAUCAUUUUGGAUUGUGAUUGCAAAAUCAUAUGCAGUAUAAUCAUUAGGUCCAAAAGAAAAACGUUUUUUUAGGUUGGUACUGGUCAUAGAGGUCUCAAUUCACUGCUCAUAAUCACUACUUUGAGGAAACAGCUGCAGUGAAAACGUCCUCUUCUUGUCCUCCUCCACUCGUGAUUAGCUUGCUCAACCCUGGCAAUGCAUCCAUCUCACCACCUGACUGAACUGUCCCGAUCAUUUUGAUCCACUACUCUUGCGGGCUCUUUGCUCUGCUCGAUUUGCAUGCACUCAGUGAAACUUCGUCAAAACUCAGCAGUUAAUAACUGACCAAUCAUAUCAAAGUAUGUUCGCUAACAAUACCCAACAGCUCUACAUAUCCAUGACAUAAAGUAAAUGCUAAACGAACCUCUGACCCAUGACUAUCUGCGUUGAGAAACUGUAUAAAGACAAAUCCCUAAAAAAGGAGAAAAUACAAUACAUGCUUCAAAUAUUACUGAUAUGAGAUACCUACCUUCUGGUAGGUUUCAUAACAAGUAGAAUUGACCUCGGUCAAAACAGCGAUGUACUUCUGCAUAGCUUCUUCUUGAGGCAUACUUCCAAGCUUCUGCCACUCAUUCCUUGCAAAAAAUAGAAACAACCACAAUAUUCUCUACAUUCAAAUUUGGAUGCCAAAGCGCUUAUGUCACAAUGGCCUACUACCAUCAGUUAUCAAUAAUGUCAUACUUCAGGCUAUUCCGUCAAACAAAAAUUUAGUGUUGACAUGUUAUCGAAGCAAACAAUUUUGAACAUAUUGGCAAGUUGCAAGUGCAUUUGAUCCACAUACUUGUCAAAACCUGCGACUGCAGUUUUUCCGACAAAUUCUUAAAUCCCAGAUCUAUGCCACUCUUGAUAAUCCGGUUGGUCGUUGCCCUUUAAUUGCAAAAAAACUCCACUUCCAACUAUGAUUUUUAAAGCAUAGAGGAUUUACCAUUUGGCACGGGCAGUCGGCUGCAAAAUCGAUGGCUGUGGAUUAGAGCAAGGGCCUUCAGUGGCUAUUUUGUAGAAGGCAUACAACUGUAGCAAUGCCUCGCUUGAAGACUUCACAUUCGGUGAAACAACCAUUGUACUUGCAUAGGUGGAAGCAGCCCCAAAACGUUUCUCAAGUUCGGUGCUUUCUAUGGCCUCCCAAUCAUCCGUUGCACUCCGAGACACCUCCAGCUCAUCUUCAACAUCACCAUUGGCCUGUUCAUUCUGCAGAAACGAUGACCAAAUUCAAGAUUUUAGAGACGCAACUUGGCAAGAUUUGCAUUAGCAGCGAGGGCAUCACUUGCUUUUAAAGAGAUGGCGAACCUUUUUGUCCAAAUCUGUGCAAUCCCACAUGCCAUGUAGGUGUAAUUCUUACUAUGUGCAUUUUGAAGGAUUCUGCAUUCUGAAAUUAGUGAUCUAGCAAAUCUCUGUUAGAAAGAUGGAACAUUAUGAUAAUGCUGAAAAAUCUUAGGAUCCUAAACAUACUUCCAUGGUGCAUUUAAUGCAGAUUGCACCUAAAAUUCGCUCCCAAUGGCAGUUAAAAAAAUGCCCAAAUUUAUACCAGGAUUGCACAGCUUCGAACUUCAUUAGUAACAAAAAGCUUCAAAGAUAAGUUCCCAAAGCCAUCAUGGGUUUUUAUAUUUCUGUUUUAUUCUUAAUUUUUUUAGAAACUACAAUUUCAGAAACUCCACCUCGACUCUUCAAGUAAUUAAUUAUAGUCAACUUUUACAUUCACUCUUUUUACAAGCACCUCAAAAAAAAAUCUCAUAUCCCAAAGAUUCUUAAAAUUCCAAUACUACAUCCUAACUACUUGGUCCAAUAUAAAAUUUAAAAAGUAGGUCUACUUAAACCACACUUCAAAGAUCAACCCGCAUCUGAAAUUCCUGUUGCUGGUGUGCAUAAAUAUUUAAACCAACACUUUUCACUUCUGAAGAAUGUCCACUAAAUGCCAGAAUAAAACUUUCAAGUAUGUACAAGUAAACAAGACCUGAGACCCUGUCAUCAGGUAGUACUCAAUAAGGUUGAACUAAGUUGACCACAUUGUUUACAGACUAUCCCAAGUUGUCGCGUACUAAUCGCCGAGAAAAAUCUCCAUACCAUAUCCACACGAAAAAUAUCGAACAGACAAGAUGCCUUGAGGAUCAAUGCACAGGAAGGAGGAUUGAACUCAAAUCAACCGACAAAAGACGUGAGAUGGAAUGGAGGAGAUGAUUCAAAAAACGUACCAAGGAUUUCAAAGAAUGCUCGCCUGAUAUACUGACAUGCUUCGUUUCAAUAUUUUCAUCUUCUGCACCCUCAUCUUUCUCAAAUUCUGCUAAUUCAUCCUUCGUAGCGUCUACUUUAUUAUCCUUAGACUCCACCUUUGAAACAGUAGGAUUGAUGGCACUAUCAAUUUCACGAGGACUACAGGCUGCUGUAGCAUCGGUCUCGACUUCGGAAUCAGGGGAAGACAAACUCGAAAAGUCAUGAGCACUAUCUUCUAGUUCGCUAUCUCCAUCAGCUUCUGUUUCCUCAUCAGUCGCGACAAGAGGAGUAUUUUGUUCAUGAGCAGGUGAAAGUUCCGCAGCCUCAGAAGGCACGAGUAGCGGAACCUCAUCAUCUGUCUCUCGUGCUACUCGCAAAUUUCCAGCACGGAAAGAGGAUAUCACCGAAAACAGCAUCACCACCAUGCACGUGAAGACAAAACCUAUGAUAAUGGUCUGCAUUUUCUCCUGCCAAUCCCCCAUUGCUGCAAUUAUCGUAUCACCGACACGAUGUCCACUAUCAAGGAAUUCCUCAGAAACUUCUCACACUCUAACUUCUCUGCUCACCAGCGCUUGCUGCAACACGAUCCACCUAGACAAACACAAUCACGCCCUUCAUUCCUCAAACUCCACCAACAGCUCUAACAUGAUUCAAGACAUGGCCCGUUUAGCACUUUGAACAAAUCCAAAUCAACUGCCUCACGCAUGUCGCCUUUUUUUUUUUUCUGACCUGGCCCUCCCUAGUUUAACUCAACUUCCCAAGUCUCUCUAGACUCUACUCUCCCUAUCCUGAGGCAAAUCUCAAUCCAAUUUUCAAUAUACGUCUCCUUCAUCAUUUGUCACUCACCCACGAGUUUACCACUUAGCAUUCUACAACAGUGGACCCGGAAUUGGAUCGAUCAGAUGUAUCACUUAAACAGAAAAUAACGAAUUCUAACUUGAGCUCCAAGUUACGGGCACGUCAAAACCACGACAUCUGAACGACAGUGCCCAUGAAAACUUGUGAAGAGAGUCCCGCAACCUGGCCAAACUGUGGUGUAGGCUAAAUUUAGUCUGAAGUAAAUCGAAAUUCAACCAGAAAUGAAACAACCUUACGUGCUAACAUCAGUAAAUGUACACCUUCUGCCACUUAACUUCGUCAGUUCUUCGGAUCGGUUAGAAUAACUGCAAAACUCAAGAGACAAACGCCAAAAUUAGUUCACUGCCAUGGCGGGCCAGAUCAAGUUUAAAAGACAAGAACUCCAUCAAAAGGUCCUGAUGGCAGUGUGAACCGGCUCAGGAGAAGGUUAAUUUGACAUCAUUCAUUGAUACUGGCCGGGUAACGGAUGAGGGUAUCUAAGUUGAAUGGUAGUCCUAAGUAUGAACCAUAGCAGUUCCUAGGUAGCCCAGAUAUCGAAUGCGAUUCCCGAACAAAUUACGCAACAACCAUUUUGACCAAUUUUCUACAUCUACAAUCCGCACCAACUUUAAAGCUUUUGUACUGCUAAAAGGUACAAUCCAACCAAACCGAUACAGAUAAAGCUAAACUAGAUAAACCAUAUCAAUCAUUCACCAACCACCAAAGGCGAAUAAUAAACUUUUACUUUUUCAAAAAUCCGAAACUGCUGAAAGAAUCCGCCUUUGAGGAAAUUUUCCGCAUGCCUUGAUCGGUCCAAUACCCUCGUUCAACUAUUGAAGAUGGCCGGGGAAAAUAAAUAAAAAUGGAAAGUCAGAAGAGAAAAGUGAAAUUGAAUCGGAGCCGUUACUUUUGGGGUCUAAAAAGUAGGCGAGACCAACACGGUACCUUUCUAAGGCCUUUUUCUCGCAGCGCAGCGCUUUCCUACCCAAAUCCGAGCCUAGGGUUUCUUCAGCAGCUCCGCUGCUUCAAUCGCGCUGGCUAUGGUAGUGGGAAAUGGCCUCGGCUAUGGCGUCUCGUCGUAGUGUACGUCGCGCUCUCGCUUUCUGUGUCCUGAAAUUUCCGAAAUAACUCUAGGAAGUCGAUUUUUAUUUUUGGUUUUUCUAAAGUUCUUGGUUCUUCCAUGAUGAGUCCAUUUGAUGAGGGCGGAACAUGGCGAUUAUGGAUUUAUCAUGGGGCAUGAGAAGGAAGGUGGUGGUCUUUCAGUUGGCCGUUUUGAUGCCACGAAGGGUACGAAUUAGGAGGAUUGUUAUUUGAAAUCGCAGGAAGCGCUAUGUUGUGACUUGCUGAAGAAGAUUGCUUAUGCAUUUGUCGUGCGGAUUGCCUUCGUUGUUGCGCAGUUUUCUUUUGCACGAGAAUUCGGGGAUGUGGAGGUGGAAUAGGCAGCGGUGGAGGACGCCAAGUUCGUCGUUCAAAGGUACAUGUUCGUCUCUACUUCCUCUCUGUUGAGAUGUCGUGAAAUGGACAAUUACUACGAAGGAAAAAAAGAAAAAAGAAACUAAACUAAAAAAAAACUAAAAAAUAAGCGAACUUCUAAAGUUUACGAUGGAAAUACGAAAAAAUGUUGUAAUCACUUGAAUUUCUAGCGGCAAUAAGUCGGACUUCGAAGCAAGUGCGUCCUUGUAGUGGAUCAAUCUCAAUUUCUUACUUUUCCCCUAAAACGAACGCGUAUCCCGUAAACUCACGGAAGGUUUUCUACUUCCUUCGACAAGAUUUUAAUCAGUGUUUUCGCGGGUCUGUAGGUC
rnacentral:lncRNA from 1 species